ACUCCUACGGGAGGCAGCAGUGGGGAAUAUUGCGCAAUGGGGGAAGCCCUCGACGCAGCCAUGCCGCGUGAAUGAAGAAGGCCCUUCGGGUUGUAAAGUUCUUUCGGUAUUGAGGAAGGAGUGUAUGUUAAUAGCAUACAUUAUUGACGUUAAAUACAGAAGAAGCACCGGCUAACUCCGUGCCAGCAGCCGCGGUAAUACGGAGGGUGCGAGCGUUAAUCGGAAUAACUGGGCGUAAAGGGCACGCAGGCGGUUAUUUAAGUGAGGUGUGAAAGCCCGGCUUAAGCCUAGGGAAUUGGCAUUUCAUGACNGGGUAACUAGAGUACUUUAGGGAGGGGGUAGAAUUUCCACGUGUAGCGGUGAAAAUGCGUAGAGAUGUGGA
rnacentral:rRNA from 1 species